rnacentral:rRNA from 1 species
AAGGUAACGCCUGCCCAGUGAGUCUUACUUAAACGGCCGCGACUAAACGUGCAAAGGUAGCGCAAUCACUUGUUCCGUAAAUAGGGACCUGUAUGAACGGCCACAUGAGAAAGAAACUGUCUCUUGAAGAUAGCCAAUGAAACUGAUCUACUUGUCCAAAAGCAAGCAUAAUUAAGCUAGACAAAAAGACCCUGUGAAACUUAAACUAAGCAUUAAACAAACUUAAUGCCUCCUUUUAGUUGGGGCAACUUAAGAUACACUAAACAUCUAAUAACACUCUAAACCAACAAGUUGAAAUACCCAAACACAAGAUCCGGCACAGCCGACUAACGAACCAAGCUACUCCAGGGAUAACAGCGCCAAAUUCUUUAAGAGUCCACAUCAACAAGAAUUCUUACGACCUCGAUGUUGGAUCAGGAUAUCCAAACAGCGCAGAAGCUGUUAACGGCUCGUUUGUUCAACGACUAACACCCU